rnacentral:lncRNA from 1 species
AAUUUUUGGAAAUGGAAAUCAGUGUCUCUUGGAGAAACUAGAAUGCCUGAUAGGCCCCAGGGGAAGGCUGCAACCAUCACAUCACUGUGUGCUGGAGACUUCUGCAGGGGUUAUGUGUGAUGACGUGCUUGCCUCUAUGUCUUGAGGCUUAAUUGGAGAGUGUCUGAUGCCUGAAGGACUUUCCUGGUUGACAACCUUGAAAAUGGUGAAAGAAAGAAAUUGAAACCAGAUCUCACUGAGUGGGAAGGCCUCACUGAGCUGACCUGUGAACAAAGACCUACAUGAAGUGAUAAGCAGAUAUCUGGGACAAGCAUUCCAGGCACAGGGAACAGCAUGUGCAAAACCCCGGAGACAAGAGUAUUCCUGGAGUGUGAAAGGACUACAAGAUAGCUUCAGUGAGACUCUAUCAAAUUGAAACGAACUGCAGGAACAGACACUUUUUCUCAGUGCAUGGCUGCCACUCUUGGAGAGCAGGAAAGAUGUGCAGUAGGAGCACCUGAGCGGCUCUUCACCACAGCUCAGGAGGGGAGGGGAGGACUCUGAGGCUCAGGAGGAGAGGGGAGGACUCCAUGCCUCAGGAAAAGUGGGAAGAAUACCACAAAGUCUGUGCAAGUUCUCUGCUGUCAAAUGGAGAAAAACAAAAACAAGGGUCAGAGAGCUAUUUUUAUUGAAGAUCUCAAGAAGGACCAAGUCAUUCAUCAAGUGGAGCGGAUGUGGUCAGGAAAAAGGACUGGCCAGAGAAAAUCCAUCUGCAGAGCCUCAUCCUUAUUGGUCAUUUUUCCCCAAAAGACAUCCCAGGAUUCCUGUAUCCUCUGAAUGUGACCCAUCGCCACCUUCAUCAUCAGCCUCAUCAUCAUCAAUGUUUACUUGUUU